GCGGUAACUCCACAACAUUGCCGCAAGCCGCCGGGAAAGGAGCUAAUCAGUCCGCAGACUUGCGGUGCGGCAGCGUGGAGACCUGCCGUAAUGCGUCGCGCUCCAAUGGGAGCGGUCGCGAGGUACAGGCGGCGGAGGCCCCUGUAUCAAAGUCGGUAACAUGGCA
rnacentral:ncRNA from 1 species